GUGUCAGCCGCCGCGGUAAGACAGAGGGUGCAAACGUUGCUCGGAAUUACUGGGCGUAAAGGGCGCGUAGGCGGACUUGGAAGUCGGGUGUGAAAUCCCUGGGCUCAACCUAGGAACUGCAUUCGAAACUCCAGGUCUAGAGUGACGGAGAGGAAAGCGGAAUUCCCGGUGUAGAGGUGAAAUUCGUAGAUAUCGGGAGGAACACCAGAGGCGAAGGCGGCUUUCUGGACGUCUACUGACGCUGAGGCGCGAAAGCGUGGGGAGCAAACAGGAUUAGAUACCCUGGUAGUCCACGCCGUAAACGAUGGGCACUAGGUGUCGCGACGAUGACUGUUGCGGCGCCGUAGCUAACGCAUUAAGUGCCCCGCCUGGGGAGUACGGCCGCAAGGCUAAA
rnacentral:rRNA from 1 species